GGUUGUGGUUUUUAGAUGUCUCGUACCAAGCAAACUGCUCGUAAGUCUACAGGAGGAAAGGCUCCCAUGAAGUAACUUGCCACUAAGGCUGCACGUAAGUCUGCUCCUACUACUGGUGGUGUGAAGAAGCCACACAGAUACCGACCUGGUACUGUUGCUCUUCGUGAAAUCCGUAAGUACCAAAAGAGUACUGAGCUCUUGAUCGGGAAGCUUCCAUUCCAGAGGCUUGUUCGUGAAAUUGCCCAGGACUUCAAGACUGAUUUGCGUUUCCAGAGUCAUGCGGUGCUAGCUCUGCAAGAGGCUGCUGAGGCCUACUUGGUGGGUCUCUUUGAGGACACUAACCUUUGUGCCAUUCAUGCCAAGCGUGUGACAAUCAUGCCCAAGGACAUUCAGCUUGCCAGGCGAAUCAGGGGCGAGCGUGCUUAGUUUGAUUACUGAAGUAGUAGCUUUGUUUGUCGUAUUUUUACUCUUUUCUUGUUAGACAAAGACAAUUAAUGAAGUCAGUAGUAGGGUAAUGUGCUUCUAAGUUUGUUUUGGUAGCUGGAAGUGUGUUGUAAUUUUGCUGCCGUUCUGUUUUGGGUAGGUGGAAAAUAUGGUAUAUUUUGUUUGGAUUGUCACACCACUGGUGUUUAACAAUGUUCAGUAUUUUCAUCU